rnacentral:rRNA from 1 species
AGGUGAUCCAACCGCAGGUUCCCCUACGGUUACCUUGUUACGACUUCACCCCAGUCAUGAAUCACAAAGUGGUAAGCGCCCUCCCGAAGGUUAAGCUACCUACUUCUUUUGCAACCCACUCCCAUGGUGUGACGGGCGGUGUGUACAAGGCCCGGGAACGUAUUCACCGUGGCAUUCUGAUCCACGAUUACUAGCGAUUCCGACUUCAUGGAGUCGAGUUGCAGACUCCAAUCCGGACUACGACGCACUUUAUGAGGUCCGCUUGCUCUCGCGAGGUCGCUUCUCUUUGUAUGCGCCAUUGUAGCACGUGUGUAGCCCUGGUCGUAAGGGCCAUGAUGACUUGACGUCAUCCCCACCUUCCUCCAGUUUAUCACUGGCAGUCUCCUUUGAGUUCCCGGCCGGACCGCUGGCAACAAAGGAUAAGGGUUGCGCUCGUUGCGGGACUUAACCCAACAUUUCACAACACGAGCUGACGACAGCCAUGCAGCACCUGUCUCACGGUUCCCGAAGGCACAUUCUCAUCUCUGAAAACUUCCGUGGAUGUCAAGACCAGGUAAGGUUCUUCGCGUUGCAUCGAAUUAAACCACAUGCUCCACCGCUUGUGCGGGCCCCCGUCAAUUCAUUUGAGUUUUAACCUUGCGGCCGUACUCCCCAGGCGGUCGACUUAACGCGUUAGCUCCGGAAGCCACACCUCAAGGGCACAACCUCCAAGUCGACAUCGUUUACAGCGUGGACUACCAGGGUAUCUAAUCCUGUUUGCUCCCCACGCUUUCGCACCUGAGCGUCAGUCUUCGUCCAGGGGGCCGCCUUCGCCACCGGUAUUCCUCCAGAUCUCUACGCAUUUCACCGCUACACCUGGAAUUCUACCCCCCUCUACGAGACUCAAGCUUGCCAGUAUCAGAUGCAGUUCCCAGGUUGAGCCCGGGGAUUUCACAUCUGACUUAACAAACCGCCUGCGUGCGCUUUACGCCCAGUAAUUCCGAUUAACGCUUGCACCCUCCGUAUUACCGCGGCUGCUGGCACGGAGUUAGCCGGUGCUUCUUCUGCGGGUAACGUCAAUGAGCAAAGGUAUUAACUUUACUCCCUUCCUCCCCGCUGAAAGUACUUUACAACCCGAAGGCCUUCUUCAUACACGCGGCAUGGCUGCAUCAGGCUUGCGCCCAUUGUGCAAUAUUCCCCACUGCUGCCUCCCGUAGGAGUCUGGACCGUGUCUCAGUUCCAGUGUGGCUGGUCAUCCUCUCAGACCAGCUAGGGAUCGUCGCCUAGGUGAGCCGUUACCCCACUACUAGCUAAUCCCAUCUGGGCACAUCCGAUGGCAAGAGGCCAGAAGGUCCCCCUCUUUGGUCUUGCGACGUUAUGCGGUAUUAGCUACGUUUCCAGUAGUUAUCCCCCUCCAUCAGGCAGUUUCCCAGACAUUACUCACCCGUCCGCCACUCGUCAGCGAAACAGCAAGCUGUUUCCUGUUACCGUUCGACUUGCAUGUGUUAGGCCUGCCGCCAGCGUUCAAUCUGAGCCAUGAUCAAACUCU